ensembl:lncRNA
CCCCCCUCCUCACCAGGGGUCUGGCUGUAGUUCCCCCGGCCCCCCCCCCCUCCUCACCAGGGGGUCUGGCUGUAGUUCCCCCGGCCUCCUGCAGGGGGGGACGGAGAGCUUCCACUACAGCUCGUCUGGUUCUCAGAGGACGAGUGCGAGCGACUCCUGGGACACACCUGUACAGGUAAGACCAGGUAACAUGAGACACACCUGUACAGGUAAGACCAGGUAACAUGAGACACAGCUGUACAGGUAAGACCAGGUAACAUGAGACACAGCUGUACAGGUAAGACCAGUUAACCAGAGACACACCUGUACAGGUAAGACCAGGUAACAUGCCACACACCUGUACAGGUAAGACCAGGUAACAUGAGACACACCUGUACAUGUAAGACCAGGUAACACAAGACCACCUGUACAGGUAAGACCAGGUAACAUGAGCCACACCUUUACAGGUAAGACCAGUUAGGAUGAGACACACCUGUACAGGUAAGAGUAGGAAGGAUGUGACCAGGUUGACCGCUCGGCGCAGCACUAACCCUAACCCUAACCCUCCUUCAUCAGCGUCUUCUGUCUCUUCAGGCGACCUUAGAGAGCAGGGGGCCCUGCCCACCCACCCAGAUGGGCCAAUCGGAGGCCUGGAAGCUGACCUGUCUGACGGAGAGCCAGGUGAGGCUGGAUAACCAGGUGUACGCCCAGCAGCUAGACUCCGCCCUCAGGACCCUCCCGGUGGAGAGGGGGUGGAGCCGACCUCUAGACUCCGCCCUCAGGACCCUCCCGGCGGAGAGGGGGUGGAGCCGACCUCUAGACUCCGCCCUCAGGACCCUCCCAGCAGACAGGGAGUUGAGCCGACCUCUAGACUCCGCCGACAGGACCCUCCCAGCGGACAGGGGGAGGAGCCGACCUUUAGACUGUGCCCUCAGGACCCUCCCAGCAGACGGUGGGCGUGGCCUACAGGUGGGCUACAGGUGUGUCCCCGUUGAGGAGCUGAGGCCCCGCCCCCGCUACAUCCCAGAGUCCUUCAGGGGGAAGACGCUGGCCCAGGUGCAGUGGGAGGACCAGGAGAAGGUGGAGGCGCUGGUGCAGCAGUUCAGAGGCUCCGCCUUCCUGUGCUACUUCCAGACGGAAGCCCUGGCCAGAUAUGGUGGGAGGAGCCAGUUCGAGGGGAGGCGUGGCCAGGACAAGGAAGUGGAAUCAGAGGAUGCUGCCAAGUUCCUCCCCUUAUUGGAUCACCAUGACGAUGAGGCCCCCGCAUGCACAAGGAGGAGGAGGACGAGGGCGUUCAGAGCGGCGUCAAGAUGCCAGGUGGUCAAAGGCUCUUCUCAAAGCCGUGGAACGCUCCGUCGACUUGCAUGGGCCUUCCCAACUUCCGGCUGUGAAUUAUUUUUUGAUAAUUCAACUUUGCUAAGCAUAAAAUGACUGCCGUCAAGGAAAGUGGAUUUUUUGACGUCUUCCGUAUCACUCCGCAAGUAGUCCGGUAACUUGUCAACGUCUUUGGCAGACUAUUUCUCUGCUGAUCUACGAAUGGUAACAAAUAAAUUGUAAAAAGACA